AGGGCGCAUGAAGGAUGCCUAGGCUCUCGGAGGCGACGAAGGACGUGACAAGCUGCGAUAAGCCGCGCUCAGGGGCAAAUACCCGUUAAAGCGCGGAUUUCCGAAUGGGGCAACCCGCCGCGGGCGACCGCGGCACCGCACGAUGUGCGGGGCGAACCCGGGGAACUGAAACAUCUAAGUACCCGGAGGAAGAGAAAACAAACAGUGAUAGCGCAAGUAGCGGCGAGCGAACGCGCCGGAGCCCAAACCACGGUCGUGGCAACGCGACUCGUGGGGUUGUAGGACCGUCGACAAAGCGACAUUUAAAGGUUAGCAGAAGCCUCUGGAAAGAGGCGCCGCAGAGGGUGACAGCCCCGUAAGCGAAAACCGGAGGAUGCGCGAGACGGCACCUGAGUAAGCCGGAACACGAGAAAUUCUGGCCGAAUCCGCGGGGACCAUCCCGUAAGGCUAAACACUACCGAGAGACCGAUAGCGAACCAGUACCGUGAGGGAAAGGUGAAAAGAACCUCGAACAGAGGAGUGAAACAGACCCUGAAAUCAUGCGCCUACAAGCGGUCGGAGCCACUACGUGUGGUGACGGCGUGCCUUUUGCAUAAUGAUCCUACGAGUUACCAGUGCCGGCAAGGCUAAGCGCCGUAAGACGCGGAGCCGAAGCGAAAGCGAGUCCGAACAAGGCGAAAGACAGUCGGUACGGGUAGACGCGAAACCAGGUGAUCUACCCUUGGGCAGGUUGAAGGCGGGGUAACACCCGCUGGAGGACCGAACCGGUAAGCGUUGAAAAGCUUUCGGAUGACCUGAGGGUAGGAGUGAAAGGCCAAUCAAACCUGGAGAUAGCUCGUACUCCCCGAAAUGCAUUUAGGUGCAGCCUCGGGGUAAGUACCGCGGAGGUAGAGCGACUGAUAAGAUGCGAGGGCUUCACCGCCUAUCAAGUCUUGACAAACUCCGAAUGCCGCGGCACGAUCCCCGGGAGUGAGGGCGUGGGUGCUAAGGUCCACGUCCUAAAGAGGAACAACUCAGACCAUCGGCUAAGGCCCCCAAAUCCGGGCUAAGUUGAAGACAAUAACGAGGUGGAAUCGCAGAGACAGCUGGGAUGUUGGCUUGGAAGCAGCCAUUCAUUUGAAGAGUGCGUAACAGCUCACCAGUCGAGCGACUCCGCAUGGAUAAUACACGGGCAUAAGUCCGGUGCCGAAGCCAUGGGAUUCAGACUUAGGGUCUGGAUCGGUAGGGGAGCAUUCCGGUAGCCGCUGAAGGCAGGUCGCGAGGCCUGCUGGAGGUCCCGGAAAAGCAAAUGUAGGAAUAAGUAACGAUAAGGAGGGCGAGAAACCCUCCCGCCGAAAGACCAAGGGUUCCUGAUCAACGCUAAUCGGAUCAGGGUAAGUCGGGACCUAAGGGGCAGCCGCGAGGCGGACCCGAUGGACAAACGGUAAAAAUUCCGUUACCCGGCUACGGAGCGACGUGGCGACGGAGCAGUGACACAUCCGCGCACUGACGGAAUAGUGCGUUAAACCGCGUAGUUAAACCGUGGGCAGGCAAAUCCACCCGCGGUGAUGAAACGGGACAGUACGGCGAGGCUUCGGCCAAGCCGAUAGCGAUGGUAACCAUACUCCCAAGAAAACCCGCUAAGCAUAUCCGUAGCCGGCCCGUACCGAAACCGACACAGGUGGUCGGGUAGAAUAUACUAAGGCGCUCGAGAGAUUCACGGUUAAGGAACUAGGCAAAUUGACCCCGUAACUUCGGGAUAAGGGGUCCCCUCCUCCGGGAGGGGCGCAGAGAAUAGGUCCAGGCAACUGUUUAACAAAAACACAGGGCUGUGCAAAGUUUAAAGAUAAUGUAUACAGCCUGACACCUGCCCGGUGCCGGAAGGUUAAGAGGAGAUGUCAUCGCAAGAGAAGCAUAGAAUUGAAGCCCCGGUAAACGGCGGCCGUAACUAUAACGGUCCUAAGGUAGCGAAAUUCCUUGUCGGGUAAGUUCCGACCUGCACGAAUGGUGUAAUGAUCCGGACACUGUCUCAACCGUGAGCUCGGUGAAAUUGUAGUAUCGGUGAAGAUGCCGAUUACCCGCAACGGGACGAAAAGACCCCGUGAACCUUUACUGCAGCUUUGCAUUGUGACCGGGUGUCCGGUGUAUAGGAUAGUCAGGAGACCGCGAAGCGGCUACGCC
rnacentral:rRNA from 1 species